rnacentral:lncRNA from 1 species
GCAAAGCAGGGCAGUAUUAAGAUCAGAAUUGGGUUUUGGCAUUCUGGUAUACCAUAUUAUUAAAUACUAAGUGUUAGUGUUUACACUGACUUAAAGCAGUUCUUUUGUUUCUACAGAACUCUGUAAACGUGAAAACUGAAAAUCAGAGUAAUAAGCUAUAUUAAAAUUCCAAAACAGAAGAGCACGUUUGUAAAAUGUCUCACUUUAUCGACAUUACUCUCAAAAGGAAAAAAGACUUGUCAGCACCUAACUUCUACGGUGAGAACAAUUCUUGUCUGAGUUCAAAGAUGUUCUGAUCAACAGAAAUACAAACGGAACAGAACUGAAAUCAACUUGGCAGACACUGUUAUUAAUGAUGAAACUGCAGUAGACAGUCCAGAAAUACUUUCUUAUGUAGAAAUUAGUGUGCUCUCAAUAGACUGUAAAAGAACAAUAAAAGCAAAGCAAAGCAAAAAAAAAAGUAUUGUUCAAAAAGUCCUCCCUGAAGUUAAAUGAAAUCAUUUGAUGAAAUGUUUGCAGGAAAAUACGUGGAUUUAGCAUUCAAGCAACUCCUACCAUUCUUCAGACCACGUGGAAUCAGAAA